rnacentral:rRNA from 1 species
UUGAAAGGGAAACGAUUGAAGUCAGUCGUACCAGCGGGAAAUCAACCUUUCGAGGGGGGGUUUUGGAGUUUUUUGAAGAGUGUCAAAACCUUUGAGAUUUCAAAAUAUUCGCUCUUUUGGUGUACUUUCUCGUGGGUAGGNUAACAUCGAUUUUGANCAUCAUAAAAAGAUUGGAGGAAUGUAGCUUCGAUCUUGUAUUGAAAAGUGUUAUAGCCUUUGGUAAAUGUGAUGAUUAGGAUCGAGGAUUGCAACGAAUACCCUUUUGGGCUAUCCGCCUGAUCUCUGAUACGUGGCCUUGGUAUCGAAAGCGUGCUUAUGGUAUUGAGGUAUUACGGUCAAAAGGUUAGAACGGAUUACAUUCGUUAAGGAUGUUGACGUA